AAAAAGAAACCUAAAAUUUUGAAGUCUCCAAAUGGUGAAUUCAGCUCAAUAGCUAUUAUCACAGUAUACAGAGAUAGAGAGAGGGAGGGGAUGGGAGCGAGUAGCAAAGUAGCGGACUUGUCAUUCAAGGUGGUGACCGCAGGUCUCGGUCUGGCCACCAUAUAUUCGAUUACUGCUUUCUCCAUCAAUUAUUACAACGGUCGCACCAAGAGGCAAGUCUUUAUCGAGAAUAUGGAGCAAAAGAGAUCCAUUAAUAAAAAGCCUAAGCAGGCUGAAGAACAAAAACGACAAGAACCAAGAUGAUGAAGCACAUCAUUCCAAUCCUUUAAAUUUUGAUCAUGUUGACUUGUUACUAAAAGGGGUGUGAAGGAAGAUAACUUCUUCGUAACCAUAGUAAUUGUAUUUUCGGCGACCAAUUGCAUUUUCUUUCUGCCAUUUCUUUGUUUGAAAUUUAAUAGUGGUCUUUGUUUAAUAAUCCCUGCAGACUGUAAUGUGUCCAUUUAUAUUUUUCUUUAUGUUGUAGUUUUAUGCUUAGAAACCAGCAUUAAAUUGCAAUUUGAUUAUCUUUUUUUUUGACAAAUAUUACUCGAUCAAAGGUUCAAAGUUACCUAGAGAAGUGUUGAUAAACUUUGUAGCAGGUACAAUGAACCACCCUUAGUAACUCAAUGGUAAUAAGCUAGUUUUAAGAGUAACUUCUAUUCUCAUGAAUGUACUCUAUUGAACUAAAGAUUACGAAGA